AUUGAACGCUGGCGGCAUGCUUUACACAUGCAAGUCGAACGGACCUAGGGGCUUGCUCCUAGGUUAGUGGCGAACGGGUGAGUAAUGCAUCGGAACGUACCGUGUAAUGGGGGAUAACGCAGCGAAAGUUGUGCUAAUACCGCAUACGAUCUACGGAUGAAAGCAGGGGAUCGCAAGACCUUGCGUUAUACGAGCGGCCGAUGUCGGAUUAGCUAGUUGGUAGGGUAAAGGCCUACCAAGGCAACGAUCCGUAGCGGGUCUGAGAGGAUGAUCCGCCACACUGGGACUGAGACACGGCCCAGACUCCUACGGGAGGCAGCAGUGGGGAAUUUUGGACAAUGGGCGCAAGCCUGAUCCAGCCAUGCCGCGUGAGUGAAGAAGGCCUCGGU
rnacentral:rRNA from 1 species